rnacentral:rRNA from 1 species
AAAUGAAUAGACGGGGGCCCGCACAAGCGGAGGAACAUGUGGUUUAAUUCGAUGGUACGCGAGGAACCUUACCUGGGCUUAAAUGUAGAGUGCAUUUCACCGAAAGGUGGAUUUUCUUCGGAACUCUUUACAAGGUGCUGCAUGGUUGUCGUCAGCUCGUGCCGUGAGGUGUCGGGUUAAGUCCCAUAACGAGCGCAACCCUUAUCGUUAGUUGCCAGCGGGUAAUGCCGGGAACUCUAACGAAACUGCCGGUGUAAACCGAGAGGAAGGUGGGGAUGACGUCAAAUCAGCACGGCCCUUAUGUCCAGGGCUACACACGUGUUACAAUGGUCGGUACAGAGGGCAGCUACCUGGAGACAGGAUGCGAAUCUCCAAAACCGGUCUUAGUUCGGAUCGGAGUCUGCAACUCGACUCCGUGAAGCUGGAUUCGCUAGUAAUCGCGCAUCAGCCAUGGCGCGGUGAAUACGUUCCCGGGCCUUGUACACACCGCCCGU